rnacentral:rRNA from 1 species
UACAGGGGGGGGCGAGUAUUAUUCUACAUGACUGGGCGUAAAGGAUAUGUAGGCGGUUUUUUAAAUGUUAAAAGAAAAGCUAUAAAAAAAAUUAUAGAUAGUUUUAAUAUAUUGUAAAACUUUGAGUUUAUAGGAGAUAUUAGAACCCGAUAGAGUAAAUGUGAAAUGUGGUCAGACUAGGGGGAAUUCCGAAUAGCGAAAGCAUUUAUCUUGUUAAAACUGACGCUGAAAUAUGAAGGUGUGGGUAGCGAAUGGG